GCCACUGGUAGCAAUGAGAUUAUUGAGCCAGUGUAUUUCUAUAUUGGCAUUGUUUUUGGAUUGCAAGGAAUAUAUGUUACUGCUUUAUUUGUUACAAGUUGGCUUAUGAGUGGAACAUGGCUAGCAGGAAUGCUUACUGUUGCGUGGUUCGUUAUUAACAGGGCAGCAUGCAACUUGGCAGCUGGUCUCCCUUACAGUGAAUGAUCCAAGAGAGUAUGAGAGAGUGUGCCACAAUGGAAGCCAGGUAUCUGUUAUAACCUCAUCUUAGAAAUGAUAUAACAUCACUCUGCCAUAUUUUGUCAGUUGCACAGACCCCUGGUACAGUGUGGGAGGUGACAACACAGGAUAUUAAUACCAGGAGGCAGGAAUCAUUGGGACCGUCUUGGAGGCUGGCUACCACAUUCAAUUAACUUUGCUAUUAAUUUCAUGUAAUCCCUAUAUCUGUCUUCAUAUUUGAAGAGGAAAAGAUACUUUCUCAUGUAAACAUAAUGGUUUUAAAGAAUAAGACUCUCUUAUGCUACUUAAACAAAAGAAUAAGACUCUCUUUAGAGAUCUUAGUGAGAAUUGUAAGAAAUAAAAUAAACAGAAGUCUGACUGCCUUAUUUGAUGUCACUGAUGUAUGUUGUAUUGCUGGAGUAGAAGUUAAAUAGAAAAAUUGACCUGGUAUAUUCUACUCAAAUGUAUCUUUUGACAAUUGAAAUGUUCUUAAUAGCUAAGUUUUAAAAAAUGCGUUUGUUUGCUUUUUGUUUAUAUUUUAUUGGUAUGUAUCUUGUACUGCAAAAUACAUUUUAAUGCCAUGAAA
rnacentral:lncRNA from 10 species